rnacentral:lncRNA from 1 species
UAGAAGAUAAAUAAAUUCUAAAAACAAAUAAAUUAAUAAUAAGAUGGUGAAAAGGAGUUGGAAUGGAAACUCAUGAGACCAGUACCACCGAAGGACCCAAUUUACAUUUGUGUCCAUCCCUGCCAAAACGCAGAGAUGUUAGUUUAGUCAGCAGAACGGGAAGAAAGCUUGGACAGUACUAUUGACGAAGAAACAAAGACAUGCAUGAAAGGAAAACCCUUGAUUCCUCGUCAAUCGAAAUUCCAUAGAUCCCCGACAAUACUUUCCUGAACAUUAUUCGGUGGCAUAGAUUGUCCAUCAUAGUACGGAAUCUGAUAAAACUUCAUGUAGUUCUCGUAAGCCAUCAGUUCCUCAGAAAGCUCCUGCAAUUUGUUCUUUUCCUCUUCAGCUCCGAUC